UAUAUAUAUAUAGAGUUGAGCUAGAAUACUAUCAAUAGCAAACGGGUUCCGUUGCCACCCAUUUGUUUUCAAUGAUAGAGGCUCCAAAUCGACGAUCGGCACCGUUGAACAUGAUCUAUAACCACUUGAAGUGUUUAGAAAUCAAAUUUCAAAUAUUUUUAACAUCAUUUGCCUAAUGAUCAAAGGGGUUUCAAAAUUUGUAAUUUUAAUGGUCGAUAUGAGACGUUUUCUCGUUUAACGGCGUAAAGAUAUCCAAAUCAAUUGAAUUUUUGUUAGAAAAUUUUUUAAACUAUUUAAAACAAGAUCUAUACUCUUGAUCUUGAUUACAAGACUCCUAUCAUCAUUUUUUAAAGAAUAUUCAUUUUCAGCCGUUCAUUUUUGUGUCCACUCGAUAGAUAAAAGAACAAUAUCGAAAAUAUAUGAAAUUUGAAUUCUAAACACUUCAAGUGGUAUAGAUCAUGUUCAACGGUAUCGAUCGUCAAUUUGGAUGCUCCAUCAUCGAAAACAAAUGAGUGGCAACAGAGCUUGUUUGCUAUCGAUAGUAUUCUAGCUCAAGUCCAUAUAUAUAUAUAUAUAUAUAUAGAAAAUUAGGCUGUAAUACUUUUAAUAACACCAAGUCAUUAGUGCUAUUAGAUUUUCAUUACUUGAAUGAAGGGAGGUGUAAUUAGGAUGAAAGUGAUCUCCUAGAGUGGAUGGUUGGUUGGUUGAACAGCAUGAUAUAACAGAUAAAAAUGGUUAUAGAGAUAAAUAUUCUAACCGUGGAAAUUAAUAGCACUAAAUGCUUGGUGCUAUUUAGAAGCACCCUA
rnacentral:lncRNA from 1 species